rnacentral:rRNA from 1 species
AUUGAACGCUGGCGGCAGGCCUAACACAUGCAAGUCGAGCGGAUGAAGGGAGCUUGCUCCUGGAUUCAGCGGCGGACGGGUGAGUAAUGCCUAGGAAUCUGCCUGGUAGUGGGGGAUAACGUCCGGAAACGGGCGCUAAUACCGCAUACGUCCUGAGGGAGAAAGUGGGGGAUCUUCGGACCUCACGCUAUCAGAUGAGCCUAGGUCGGAUUAGCUAGUUGGUGGGGUAAAGGCCUACCAAGGCGACGAUCCGUAACUGGUCUGAGAGGAUGAUCAGUCACACUGGAACUGAGACACGGUCCAGACUCCUACGGGAGGCAGCAGUGGGGAAUAUUGGACAAUGGGCGAAAGCCUGAUCCAGCCAUGCCGCGUGUGUGAAGAAGGUCUUCGGAUUGUAAAGCACUUUAAGUUGGGAGGAAGGGCAGUAAGUUAAUAACUUGCUGUUCUGACGUUACCAACAGAAUAAGCACCGGCUAACUUCGUG